AUUUUUAUUGAUAUGUAUUGUUUUAUUUCAGAAUAAAUCAUUUGUCUUGACAUGCUAAAAGAGGAAAUAAUGCACAGUAGCAACUAUAUUGCUAGGCCAGUGACCAGCAGUUGGGUACUAAGAAAGGAGAAGCUCUUAUUGACUGGUAAAAUGAAAACAGGACAUUUUCAAAUUGUUUUGAUUGGUCAAUAUUAUGUAUAUGUACGUUGAUAUGAAUUUAUGAUUUUAUAUUUGAUUGUGUUCAAUGAUUAACUGGAAAUAAACAAUUACAUA